CUCUUCUCGCGAGACUUCACUCCCGCCUCCACCCCCACCCCCCACCCCCCCACCUGGGCGCAACGCCUGGACCGGCAACGGUUCUUUCCCGCGAGAUCACCCGACGUACGCCUGCGCAGGCGGGCGGCUAGGAAUCCCAGAGCCUCAAAAAAGAUGCUGUUGGAAAAAGCAGAGAAAGCCAGCGUCUUUCAGCCAGCAGGAGCUUGAGGACGGUUUGCCAUAAAAGCACCACAUUUCACUCCGAGCACACAAAAUACCCGGACUGGUAAUUUUUUCGAAGACCAAACGUUAAUCUCGGAAAAUGGUCUGUUAGCACUGUGCUGCUUCUUGAGGAAAUUAUGUUUUAUUGGGAUUUAUGUCAGAAAACCACUUUCCUUGGGUAGUAUCCUCAGAACCACACAAAGAAGACCAAAACGUACAAUAAUACAACUAUGAACUUCCUUGA